rnacentral:rRNA from 1 species
UACGAAGGGGACUAGCGUUGUUCGGAAUUACUGGGCGUAAAGCGCACGUAGGCGGAUUUGUAAGUCAGGGGUGAAAUCCCGGGGCUCAACCUCGGAACUGCCUUUGAUACUGCAAAUCUCGAGUCCGAUAGAGGUGGGUGGAAUUCCUAGUGUAGAGGUGAAAUUCGUAGAUAUUAGGAAGAACACCGGUGGCGAAGGCGGCCCACUGGAUCGGUACUGACGCUGAGGUGCGAAAGCCAGGGGAGCAAACGGGG